rnacentral:pre_miRNA from 1 species
UCUUGUGGAUGAGCAAAGAAGUGGUUUCUUGAGAUGGAAUCUACUCCUGGUACAAAUGCUGUGAA